rnacentral:rRNA from 1 species
AUUGAACGCUGGCGGCAUGCCUUACACAUGCAAGUCGAACGGCAGCACGGGUGCUUGCACCUGGUGGCGAGUGGCGAACGGGUGCGUAAUAUAUCGGAACGUACCUUAUUGUGGGGGAUAACGCAGCGAAAGCUGUGCUAAUACCGCAUAAUCCAAAAGGGGGAAAGCGGGGGACCGUCAGGCCUCGCGCAAUUAGAGCGGCCGAUACCUGAUUAGCUAGUUGGGGAGGUAAAGGCGCACCAAGGUAACGAUCAGUAGCUGGUCUGAGAGGACGAUCAGCCACACUGGGACUGAGACACGGCCCGGAAGCCUACGGGAGGCAGCAGUGGGGAAGUUUGGACAAUGGGUGCAACCCUGUUCCAGCAAUGCCGCGUGAGUGAAGAAGGCCUUCGGGUUGUAAAGCUCUUUUGUCAGGGAAGAAACAGCAGCUCUAACAAAGUUUGCGAAUGACGGUACCUGAAGAAUAAGCACCGGCUAACUACGUGCCAGCAGCCGCCGUAA